UGCUAAUACAUGCAGUCGGACGGACGGACGGGAGCUUGCUCCCGGAAGUCAGUGGCGAACGGGUGAGUAACACGUGGGUAACCUGCCCAGGAGUGGGGGAUAACAUCCGGAAACGGGUGCUAAUACCGCAUAGGCCAAGCUUCCGCCUGGAAGCUUGGGGAAAGCCGGCCUCUGUGCUGGCGCUCCCGGAUGGACCCGCGGCGUAUUAGCUGGUUGGUGGGGUAACGGCCCACCAAGGCGAUGAUACGUAGCCGACCUGAGAGGGUGAUCGGCCACAUUGGGACUGAGACACGGCCCAAACUCCUACGGGAGGCAGCAGUAGGGAAUCUUCCGCAAUGGACGCAAGUCUGACGGAGCAACGCCGCGUGAGUGAAGAAGGUUUUCGGAUCGUAAAACUCUGUUGUCGGAGAAGAACAAGCGGGCGAGGACUGCGCCCGCCCUGACGGUAUCCGACCAGAAAGCCACGGCUAACUACGUGCCAGCAGCCGCGGUAAUACGUAGGUGGCGAGCGUUGUCCGGAUUUAUUGGGCGUAAAGCGAGCGCAGGCGGUCCCUUAAGUCUGAUGUGAAAGCCCACGGCUCAACCGUGGAGGGUCAUUGGAAACUGGGGGGCUUGAGUGCAGGAGAGGAGAGUGGAAUUCCAUGUGUAGCGGUGAAAUGCGUAGAUAUAUGGAGGAACACCAGUGGCGAAGGCGACUCUCUGGCCUGUAACUGACGCUGAGGCUCGAAAGCGUGGGGAGCGAACAGGAUUAGAUACCCUGGUAGUCCACGCCGUAAACGAUGAGUGCUAAGUGUUGGGGGGGUUCCACCCCUCAGUGCUGCAGUUAACGCAUUAAGCACUCCGCCUGGGGAGUACGGCCGCAAGGCUGAAACUCAAAGGAAUUGACGGG
rnacentral:rRNA from 1 species